CCUACGGGAGGCAGCAGUGAGGAAUAUUGGUCAAUGGGCGUAAGCCUGAACCAGCCAAGUCGCGUGAGGGAUGAAGGUUCUAUGGAUCGUAAACCUCUUUUAUAAGGGAAUAAAGUGCGGGACGUGUCCCGUUUUGUAUGUACCUUAUGAAUAAGGAUCGGCUAACUCCGUGCCAGCAGCCGCGGUAAUACGGAGGAUCCGAGCGUUAUCCGGAUUUAUUGGGUUUAAAGGGUGCGUAGGCGGGCUGUUAAGUCAGUGGUGAAAGUCUGUGGCUCAACCAUAGAAUUGCAGUUGAUACUGGGAGCCUUGAGUAUAGUUGAGGUAGGCGGAAUGCGUGGUGUAGCGGUGAAAUGCUUAGAUAUCACGAAGAACCCCGAUUGCGAAGGCAGCCUGCUAAGCCAUGACUGACGCUGAUGCACGAAAGCGUGGGGAUCAAACAGGAUUAGAUACCCUAGUAGUC
rnacentral:rRNA from 1 species